UACAAACCUGACUCAGUUACACCAGCUCUGUCAGGAGGAAUGGGUCAAAAUUCACCCUACUUAUUUUUGGAAGCUUGUGGAAGGCUACCUGAAACAUUUAACCCAAGUUAAACAAUUUAAAGGCAAUGCUAAAAAAUACUAAUUGAGUGUAUGUAAACUUCUGACCUGGGAAUGUGAUGAAAGAAAUAAAAUCUGAAAUAAAUUCUCUCUACUAUUAUUCUGACAUUUCACAUUCCUAAAAUAAAGUGGUGAUCCUAACCGAUCUAAGAAAGGGAAUUUUUAAUGGGAUUAAAUUUCAGGAAUUAGUGAAAAACUGAGUUUAAAUGUAUUUUGCUAAGGUGUAUGUAAACUUCCGACUUCAACUGUAUGUUUUAAAUGACGAUCUGUUGUUGUCCUCAGGGAGAGCUGAAGAAGUCCUCUCCGGGAUCGCUUGUCAACGCAGAACACAGAGGACUAUCUCCCAAAGUAAUCACAGGCUUUAUGAGUCUAAUGUGUAAAUACCGGUCAGGUUAUUAAUGUUGUUGUCCUCGGGGAGAGAAGACCUCAGGCUUUAUGAGUCUAAUGUGUAAUUACUGGUCAGGUUAUUAAUGUUGUUGUCCUCGGGGAGAGAAGACCUCAGGCUUUAUGAGUCUAAUGUGCAAUUACUGGUCAGGUUAUUAAUGUUGUUUUCCUCGGGGAGAGAAGACCUCAGGCUUUAUGAGUCUAAUGUGCAAUUACUGGUCAGGUUAUUAAUGUGGGAAUGUUGUCCUCGGGGAGAGAAGACCUCAGGCUUUAUGAGUCUGUGUAGUUACUGGUCAGGUUAUUAAUGUUGUUCUCCUCAGGGGAGAAAAGACCUCAGGCUUUGAGUCUAAUGUGUAAUUACUGGUCAGGUUAUUAAUGUUGUUGUCCUCGAGGAGAGAAGACCACAGGCUUUAUGAGUCUAAUGUGUAGUUACUGGUCAGGUUAUUAAUGUUGUUGUCCUCGAGGAGAGAAGACCACAGGCUUUAUGAGUCUAAUGUAUAAUUACUGGUCAGGUUAUUAAUGUUGUUGUCCUCAGGCUUUAUGAGUCUAAUGUGUAAUUACUGGUCAGGUUAUUAAUGUUGUUGUCCACAGGCUUUGAGUCUAAUGUGUAAUUACUGGUCAGGUUAUUAAUGUUGUUGUCCUCAGGCUUUAUGAGUCUAAUGUGUAAUUACUGGUCAAGUUAUUAAUGUUGUUGUCCUCAGGCUUUAUGAGUCUAAUGUGUAAUUACUGGUCAGGUUAUUAAUGUUGUCCACAGGCUUUAUGAGUCUAAUGUGUAAUUACUGGUCAGGUUAUUAAUGUUGUUGUCUACAGGCUUUAUGAGUCUAAUGUGUAAUUACU
rnacentral:lncRNA from 1 species